rnacentral:rRNA from 1 species
GACGAACCGUGCAAACGUUAUUCGGAAUCACUGGGCAUAAAGGGCGCGUAGGCGGCUCCAAAAGUCAGGGGUGAAAUCCGGCAGCUUAACUGUCGCAGUGCCUUUGAUACUGUGGAGCUAGAGGGAGGUAGGGGUCUGUGGAACUUCCGGUGGAGCGGUGAAAUGCGCAGAUAUCAGGAGGAACACCGGUGGCGAAGGCGGUUCUCUGGGCCUUACCUGACACUGAGGAGCGAAAGCGUGGGGAGCGAACAGG